rnacentral:rRNA from 1 species
CAGUAGCCGCGGGAAUACGAAGGGGGCUAGCGUUGCUCGGAAUCACUGGGCGUAAAGGGUGCGUAGGCGGGUCUUUAAGUCAGGGGUGAAAUCCUGGAGCUCAACUCCAGAACUGCCUUUGAUACUGAAGAUCUUGAGUUCGGGAGAGGUGAGUGGAACUGCGAGUGUAGAGGUGAAAUUCGUAGAUAUUCGCAAGAACACCAGUGGCGAAGGCGGCUCACUGGCCCGAUACUGACGCUGAGGCACGAAAGCGUGGGGAGCAAACAGGAUUAGAUACCCGGGUAGUCCCUGUCUCUUAUAC